rnacentral:tRNA from 1 species
GGAUUGUGGCUCAGCGGUAGAGCGCUCGCCUAGCAUAGACAGGACCUGGGUUCGAUCCUCAGCACCA